rnacentral:rRNA from 1 species
GAUGAACGCUAGCGGGAGGCUUAAUACAUGCAAGUCGAGCGGUAAGGUCUUCGGACCCUAGAGCGGCGCACGGGUGAGUAACGCGUACGAAACCUGCCUUUAAGAGAGGGAUAGCCCUGGGAAACUGGGAGUAAUACCUCGUAGUAUUCGAUUUCUGCAUGGGAAUUGGAUUAAAGCUGAGGCGCUUAAAGAUGGUCGUGCGUCUGAUUAGCUAGUUGGUAGGGUAACGGCCUACCAAGGCGACGAUCAGUAGGGGGCGUGAGAGCGUGGCCCCCCACACGGGUACUGAGACACGGACCCGACUCCUACGGGAGGCAGCAGUAAGGAAUAUUGGGCAAUGGACGGAAGUCUGACCCAGCCAUCCCGCGUGCAGGAAGAAUGCCCUAUGGGUUGUAAACUGCUUUUGUUUGGGAAGAAAUGUACUUUUUUAAGAGUAUUUGACGGUACCAGACGAAUAAGCACCGGCUAACUCCGUGCCAGCCGCCGCGGUAA